rnacentral:rRNA from 1 species
GGGUCAGUAGGUUGGUCGUGCCACCGGUACGUACUGGUCUCACUGAUUCCUCCUUCCUGAAGAACCGUAAUGCCAUUAAUUUGGUGUUGCGGGGAAACAGGACUGUUACUUUGAAAAAAUUAGAGUGUUUAAAGCAAGCUAACGCUUGAAUACAUUAGCAUGGAAUAAUGGAACAGGACGAUCGAUCCUAUUUUGUUGGUUUCUAGGAUUGACGUA